GGGGGCGACCUUCACCCUCGCCCGAGUACCCAUUGGAGGGCAAGUCUGGUGCCAGCAGCCGCGGUAAUUCCAGCUCCAAUAGCGUAUAUUAAACUUGUUGCAGUUAAAAAGCUCGUAGUUUUACUUUUCGUCCUCGCUAUUGUGUUUUCACUAGGCGGGACGCCUCGUUACUUUGAGAAAAUUAGAGUGUUUCAAGCAGGUUUUGCCUGUAUAAUUGAGCAUGGAAUAACCUUGUAUGACCCUGUCGUACCGUUGGUUGCCUUGGGUAAUGGUUAAUAGGAACGGUUGGGGGCAUUC
rnacentral:rRNA from 1 species